UUAAAGGCAAUGAAGGGGAGCAAUCUCAUAGUCCUCAUUUUAGAGAAGCAACGGCUGGUGAAAGUUGUUUGAGGGCUUGGUGAAUUCUCACCCCUGAGCUGUAUCCAGGUAAAAAUGGGUACCGGUACGAACCGUUAUGAUCGGCAAAGUGCUAUUGAAAUUGGGUGGUACCGCGGGAUUAUGCUCUCGUCCCUUUA
rnacentral:ncRNA from 1 species